AAAAUUUUAAUUAUAAAGCUAUCAACAUUUCUCUUAAAUUGUUAUUACAUGUAAAGGAGGAAUAAUAUGGUUCAAAUUACCAUGUUUGUUUAUGUUUUGACUAUUUUUCUUUCUCUAUUUAUUGUUGUAACCAGUAGAAGUGGUCUUCCCUGUAAAACAGUAGCAGAUUGUCCAGAUGAGUUAUAUUUUUUUAUUGAGUGCGAAAAUGGUUUUUGUGUGUAUUGGAGAGAUUAAAGAUUAAAUUUAUUUAUAAUUAUUAUACAUAUUGUUUGUCCUUUUAUAAUUCACUCUAAAUGUGAUUUAUGUUUCUUUGA